CGCGAAUCAUGACCUGAGCCGAAGUCGGACGCUCAACCGACCGAGCCACCCAGGCGCCCCAACAAGGAAGGAAUUUUAAAGUGAGAACAUGGUUGGGGCUGAUCAGAUAUAUCUGCAGGUGGCCAGUGUGGUCUGCGGACUGCUAGUCGGCCAUUUUCUUGCCCCUCGCCCAAUCCAGGGCCCUGUCCUUGGUUCUGACGCACUUGGCAUUUUAACCAGUGACUUGGGGAGAAAAGGGGACAUCAAAGCCCAGAGAGGCUCCUCAUUCCUCUGGUGUCACACAGCAAGUUAGGGGCAGGUUCAGUGCGUGUGGCACCUAAUCCUUUCCUGGAAUCGCCAUGCCAUCCCUUGGGCUGCUGCAGAAGCCUUCUGUGGCCGUGCGUGUCCUGGAAAAGUCACCUCAGACCGUAGCGUGGAGAUAAGCAGUGUUAGAAUGUUAGCUUAUCUGCUUCCUGUUUUUUUCUGGCUCUUAUGUUUUUACAUAGGUGAGGCCAUAUUGUAUAUCCGGCCUUACAAAUGUAUAUAGGUAUUUCCAUCUGGACUGUGUGGUGAGUGUUUCCAGGCAUCAGGAGAAACUGCACUGCAUGGCUCCCGAGGGACAGUGCAGAGCUGUGGCACCGUGACACAGCCCCCGGCUGUCCCCGGAGGUGGGUUUUGCAGCUCUGAAGCUCCGCUUCCAACAGCCCUGCAGGAGAUGGCCUCACACCAGCUCCUCCAUGCACUGGAGCAUGGAUACAGCCCCUCUCUGCUUCCCUCUUCCGAGAGCCGCUCCAGAGCAAGACAUGGUGUCAGACUUGCCGAUUAGCCUCAAGCAGAAUCCGCUAGUGUGUGUUUUCUGGGCCACCCCAUUGCCCGGAAACACAUUCAUCAAUAUGAAAGAUGUAGAGAGUUCCUACCCAAGCGCUGGUAGGCGCCCCCGCCCCCAGAUGAAAGGAGCACUGUUUCGUAGCAAGCCCUGCCAUUCCCCGUUCUCUCCAAGCAGCACUGGGGGCGGCUUGGCCAAGCGGCCUUGGGAGGAAAUGCUGAGGGCUGAGAGGAGGGCGGUCGGAGCCCGCCGGGUCAGCGGGGCACUUCCUCCUCUGUUCCAGACACACAAAGCAGCCACCUGGGAUGAGAAGGGCAGACAGCCUGGUGAUUCAGAAGGCCUUGGCUGGCUCAGGCCCGCUCACUGCCCGGGCCAGGACAGAGGCCGUCUUCCGCCCCAGUGGCAGCAGGUGGUGCUGCUGGUUUCCUGACGAUCCCCGCCACUCAGUUCUGUGACCCCCACAAUGUGACUGCCCCCCACCCCGCCCCCCUGCACAUGAAUAUUCCUAUGCAAGGCCUCGGAUGAGCCAGGCCAGCGGGGGAGGGGCCCAGGGACACUUGCUCCCUAUGAAUGGGCCCACAGAGCGGGAGGCGGAAGCCGCUUGAUCUUUCUGCCCCGAGUUCCAUCCUCCUUUGCUCUCAUUCACUCGCGCUUUCAACAAGCAUUUAUUUAUUGGGUUUGCGGUGUGGCCCGGGCCCCGUCGACUACACGGAGGACAGAGCACAGAGGGGCCUUGCAGCGAAUCCACUGUCCAUUCAUGGAGGAGGAAGACGGAGCGCCGGUCCCCAGGGGCCGCGCUGUCAGCAGGCGUAAAGGGGGGUCUGCCCCGCCAGGCUAGCUUCUGUGGGCUGUCGGCGCCCAUGGGAAAGCAGAGGGCACGUUUUCUGUCCCCCAGGUAGGUUUGAGGAAAGCGAGGUGCCACCGCGUGUAGCCUUCUGUGACUCCAAAAGUCAGCACGGUGCCUGGUACACACAUAGGUCCCCAAGCGCCACUCGCAGACUGGAAAGCCAGGAGCCCGCCAUGGCUAAGCGGCUCAUCCGUGGUCAUCUGGAUGACUGGCCAGGGAUUGAACCGAGGGCGUCUUUCAUCCCACGCCCAAAGCUCUCUAGGCUGUGACCGUGCUUUGUCUGCGUGCACGGCGGUGCAGGGGCAGGGAGCUCUUUCUGGACCGGAGCUUGUGGAUUUUCAGCAUCGUGUGUGCUGGGUUUUAAAGUUCUUGGCCAUACUGUUUCAGCAUAUUCUAAAGGGGACGCAGGGCACGUGGGAAAUAACUGGGGGUCAUAAGAGGCUCUGGAACAACGUUAGGGUAGAGUUGCACAGCAGCGGGGCGGGGGGGGGCCCCGUGUGGCAAGCCUUGCCUGUGAGCCCAGGAUGACGGGGCUCAGCAUGGUGCCAGCUCACGGAGAGGGUAUUAGAAUGCACGCGGUGUAUAUAGCCUCACGUUACCGUGUUCGUGCAAAAGGAGCUCCUCCGGAGACAUUGAAGCACUUUUUUCACUCUUACCAUUGCCCGUUUAUCAGUUUGAGGGAAAACGGGUGUUUCGACCCUCGUUGCCUGAGCUAGGGUCUGGACGGAGGAGCAAAGCCUGAUUUUGCACGUGCGUGGCAGGUGUGCAGUUGCCGAGGGGCUUGCCCGUGUGAGGCCAGGAGGGGAAGGCCCGGGGCCCGGGGCUGGAGGGGUGGCGGAGCACCCCAAGAGUUGUCUGUCUGUGGGGGCCGCCUGGGUUCCCGUGAAUGCCUGAUCCUUCCUUUGUACAUUGUGUCCAAUUGUCCGCCUCGCAAACUCCUGCGUAUUCUUGGAUACGCGGCUCACAUAUGCUGCGUGGAAAGGUGUCACCUGUCCACGGCACUGCCUGCCCCGAUCCCGUGGUCACCGACUGCCCGUGCCACCCAGGCUGGUUGCAGUAGGUGUGUUCUUGUUUCUUCUCAGAGGCGGGACCUGGACCCGGGCCUGGUGAAUGCUGACCAAGUGUGCUCAGAGCGAGGUGACUCCAAGGAGCACCUGUGUGUGGGAGGCGAGGCUCGUCCCCGCCAGGCGUUUGUCCAUUCAGGCUGUGUGUCUGGCUGGCGCUCAGAUGGUGGGCCUCUGCUUCCGAGAAGGUUCAGCCAGGCACCUGAGUGCUCCAGGAGUUCGGUGGCUCUCACACAUCCUGGCUGCCUAUUCUAGUCACUUCUAAGCUUCUAAGAAUCCAGACGCCCAGGCGCUCCCAAGAGUCUGUGCGUGUGAAGGGAAGAGGCAGUGUUAGUAUUUUACUCACAUCCCUCAAGAGGCUCCUAAGGACACCACCACCUGGAAACCACGUCUCUGGUGGCCCCUGAGCUGCACGGCCAAUGAAGUCUUGCCAAAUCUAAGGCGUUUGAAAACUGCGCAGCGCGUCAGAGCUUAGGGGCAGCUCUUAUCUGUGUGUGUUUCUAACACCCCGAAUUGUCCAGAAGUGGUCACUGAACUCCAGUGUUCAAAGAUGCCUCACCGGAGGGAGUUAGUGUGGAAACGGCAAAGUCUCUUCCGGCCCCGGGGUUCUGUAGCUCCCUUGGUCCUUCGCCGCUUCCCUCCAGCCCCCAAUUAGUUGUCGAGCAUCUUUUGCGUGUGAGGCUCAGUUCUGAGCGCGGGGCAGGAGCGGCGUGGGCCAGGUAGACCCGGCCAGUGUUCUGUGGAACACGCGCUCCAGCUGGGGAGACGCAUUGUCACAUGAGCUAGCACAGGGGUGAGUUCCUUGUGAGGGGUGAGGGGCUGGGCUUAGAGUGGGUGGCUGAGGGAUGAGGUGUUGUGGAGGCUGCAGGGUAGGGGUCGGGCCUUCUCAGCAAGUACCUCCCACCCGUCCAGACACACAGCGGUGGGAGAUGACCUUGCAGACAGCUCCGGUAAGAUGGGUGGCUCUGUCUUCACACCAGCUGGACACCGUGGCUCAGACAUUAUCACCAAGACCCAGACUUCUUUGCGCAGCCCGAGCCUGUGGGCCCUUCCCCUCUGGCCUCCGGCCUCAGAAGCCCCAGGUCCUGCCGCCUUGGGGGCUACCUCGUGUUCUCAGUCCACAGCCCAAGGGAUAGGGAGGAUUUCUCUGUAGCUCCUCUACCAUCCAGGGGUUUGGGAGUGGGGGGCUUGGGACCGGGGUACUUUGCAGGUUCACGUCAGCUGGUGGAAACCCUCCCCGGUCACCACAGCAAGGUCAGUCCGCCUCAGACUGGGACUGGGAGUAAGUGGGGGGGCGGGGGGGUAAUUCUCCCAAGGAAGUCAGGGUAUCCUUCAGGGAAACAGGGCAGGAGUGCUGGAAAGUGGCCAGGGGUCUCCUGAUGGAGGCGAGCGGCUGGAACGGGCAGCAUCUCUCACACAGUGCCCGAGGUGGUCAGGUCUGCAGGGGCAGGAGCUCGAGCCUCCCGGUCCGUGUCCUCCUGGCACAGGUGAGCUGGGGGGUGUAGACCGGUAGCAGGGUUCUCCUGAUGAGCUCGUUCAGUUCUCGUGGUUGCUGGCGAGCAAGGGGAGGCUGAAGAAAGGGUGUCAAGAUUCCCGUGGUCUGGGGCUCCUGGGUGGCUCAGUCCAUUAAGUGUCCGACUUCGACUCAGGUCAUGAUCUCACGGUUUGUGAGUUCGAGCCCCACAUCGGGCUCUGUGCCGACAGCUCAGAGCCUGGAGCCUGCUUCGGAUUCUGUGUCUCCUUCUCUCUCUGCCCCUCCCCUACUCAUGUUGUGUCUCUCUUUCUCUCAAAAAUAAAUAAACAUUUAAAAAGUUAAAAAAAAAAAAAAAAAAAGAUUCCCGUGCUCACAGGGAGCCGGAGCAGUCUGUCAGUCUCUCCCUGACACUUUCUACCACAUGGCUCCCUCUAGUCAAGGUGGAGAACCAAGGCCCCGUGAGGUGCUGUGUUGGGGACAGAGCAAGGACCCGUCCCCACUGUGAUCCCAGCCAGGACCAGUGUCCUGCUAAGCGCCUCGUCACGUUUGGCAGAAGUGGGCCUGGGGAGAGCUGUCACAGUCACAGGGAGGUGGCUCUGUGUGUGCUUCUGGGAAGACCUGGAAGGAAAGGUCAGAGCAGCUUCUGGAGGCAGGUGAGUGUUUGUGGAGGCCUCUGGAGGGUGUGGGUCUGGGGAAAGCAGCAGGAGAGGUCCCAGGUCCACACAGGAGUUGACAGGCUCGGGUGUCCAAGCGGUGGUGGGAGUGAACCUUGCAGGUCCGUCUGCCUUGGCCGGUGCCCAGCCCUGCGCGCUGCUGCUGGGGCUAAGAGGGGCCUGUGUGGGAAUGGGGCCCAGGGAGGCAAGUCCUCCGGAGGCCUGGGGGACAUUCCCUGGUCUUCUCUGACACUGGCAGUCACCACCCUUCCUGCUGCCCUCUCUGAGCCUCAGAGCUCAGCCAGAUUGUCGCGGGAGCCACCCGCACACCUGCAGGGGGGAGGAGCGUGACGGGGGUCACAGCCCAGGGAGACUCUUAGGCAAAGGAGUAGUUAUGGUGCUAAACGAUAGGUGCUCUAAAGGAAAGCUGAGUGAUUCCAGAGGAGUUAGGGCAAGCGGGGAGGGGAGAGACGGAGGGACUCGAAGGCUCAGAGGCAGAGGGCGGUUUACGUGCCCUAUUGUGUGUCUGGGGGGGGGCGGGGAGGUCAGUGUGGCUGGGGAAGCACAGGCAGAAUGAGGACAUCUAACACACAUCUCUUUGGAGUUCCAGAAGAGUUUAUGCUUGAAAAGAUAAUGAUUGACGGUUUUUAAGUUUGUGGCAAGGUGCUACUUCUCAGAUCCAGGAAGCCUAGUGAGUCGUAAGCAGGAUAAAAUUAAAGAAAUCCCCACCUGGGCACAUUGGCAGGAGACUGGAGAACACCACAGGAAGGGAACAUCUUUUAGUUUUUAUUUUAAUGUUCCAUUAUUUAUUUUUGAGAGGGAGACAGAGAGAAAGAACGCCGGUGGUGGAGGACAGAGAGUGGGGGAGAGAGAAUCCCAAGCAGGCUCCCCACUCAGUAUGGAGUCCAACACGGGGCUCGAACCCCCGAACUGUGAGCUCAUGACCUGAGCCGAAAUCGAGAGUCGGACAUUCAACUGACUGAGCCGCCCGGGCGCCCCUAAGGAAGAGAACGUCUUAAAUAAACCCAAGGGAGCAUUUGCACCGCUGAAAAGAGACGGCAGUCAAGCGGACGGCUGACAUCUCAACGAGGAUGGCCGUUGCUGGCAAGCAGUAGAAUAAGGUCUUAGGUGCGCUGGAAGAAACACCGUUAACCUUGAAUUCCCUUCCUAGGGAAACCUCUUUCUUGCAAGAAUGAUGGUAAAAUACAUUUUGAGACACCAGCGAAACAUCUGUUACCCUCCGGAAUUCUGGAUUCAUUGAAGGUAUUCCUUAGGAGCAAAGGUGAAAUAGUGACAUUUGCAGGCAGCAGAAACGUCCCAGCUUCCCAUCGUGACUUGUUCUUUUUGGUUAUUCUGGCUCCAGCCAGGAGCCCUCCAAGGAACCCGGCCAGAGUCGCCUCAGCUGAGCAAGAGAUGCUCCCAGUGCUGUGGUCACUUAAGAGAUCCCAAGGGUUUCAGGACCAGGAGCCGAGGGUGCAGAGACCAAUCUGUAUAUUUCAUAUCACUUCACAAAAAGUAGUAAAAAUGUAACAGGAUGUGAGCGGCACAGUUCAUAAGCCUGCGGAUUUGUUGUUCUCGGUGACAGGAGCACACGCAUUAUUUUCAGUCCCCUUCAGAAUACUUAGCGAAGACUUGAUCCUGUGCUAGGCAAAAAAAAAAAAAAAAAAAAAAAAAAAGGCCAGCCCCAGCACAUUUCUGGAAACCGGGAUCACCUAGAACACACGUUCUGACUACAACAUCGUCAGCAACAAAAGGAAGACUAGAGAAACUCCAUAUGCUUGACAUUUGAAAAAUUCCUGAAUUCUUGAGUCAAAGAAGAAAUUCUAAUGAGAAUCAAAACAUUUAAAACCAACUAGUAAGGUAAAUAUUUUUAUCCCAGAAUUUGUGGGGCCACUAAAGCAAUAGUGAGAGGGGGACCUGGUAGCUCUCACUGUUUACAGAAUAACGUGACACCGAAAAGUGGAAGAAAUGAAGUAAGGAUAAGAACAGAAAUGAGUGCAUUGGAAAACAAACACACGGGACAGUCAUCGCUGACUGAAAAGAGCAACAAAUAAAACAGAUCUCUGGCAAGAAUAAUUUU